rnacentral:rRNA from 1 species
UUCCAGACUCCUACGGGAGGCAGCAGUGAGGAAUAUUGGUCAAUGGCCGUAAGGCUGAACCAGCCAAGUAGCGUGAGGGAAGACUGCCCUAUGGGUUGUAAACCUCUUUUAUGCGGGGAUAAAGGUGUCCACGUGUGGAUGUUUGCAGGUACCGCAUGAAUAAGGACCGGCUAAUUCCGUGCCAGCAGCCGCGGUAAUACGGAAGGUCCGGGCGUUAUCCGGAUUUAUUGGGUUUAAAGGGUGCGUAGGCGGGAUGCCAAGUCAGCGGUAAAAAUGCGGUGCUCAACGCCGUCGAGCCGUUGAAACUGGCGUUCUUGAGUGGGCGAGAAGUAUGCGGAAUGCGUGGUGUAGCGGUGAAAUGCAUAGAUAUCACGCAGAACUCCGAUUGCGAAGGCAGCAUACCGGCGCUCAACUGACGCUCAUGCACGAAAGCGUGGGUAUCGAACAGGAUUAGAUACCCUGGUA